rnacentral:rRNA from 1 species
UGGGGAAUAUUGCACAAUGGGGGAAACCCUGAUGCAGCGACGCCGCGUGAGUGAAGAAGUAUUUCGGUAUGUAAAGCUCUAUCAGCAGGGAAGAAAAUGACGGUACCUGACUAAGAAGCCCCGGCUAACUACGUGCCAGCAGCCGCGGUAAUACGUAGGGGGCAAGCGUUAUCCGGAUUUACUGGGUGUAAAGGGAGCGUAGACGGCGCGGCAAGUCUGAAGUGAAAGCCCGGGGCUUAACCCCGGGACUGCUUUGGAAACUGCCAUGCUGGAGUGCUGGAGAGGUAAGUGGAAUUCCUAGUGUAGCGGUGAAAUGCGUAGAUAUUAGGAGGAACACCAGUGGCGAAGGCGGCUUACUGGACAGUAACUGACGUUGAGGCUCGAAGGCGUGGGGAGCAAACAGG